AUACUGCUGUGAUGAUAUAUGAAUAAAUUCACAUGUCAGACUUCAGAGACUUUGAAGUCUAUGAGAAAGCAUAUUCAUGUUUCUGAGCAAUUU